rnacentral:rRNA from 1 species
GGACCCGCACAAGCGGUGGAGUAUGUGGCUUAAUUCGAUGCAACGCGAAGAACCUUACCUAGGCUUGACAUGUAUUGCUAAGCACGUGAAAGCGUGUGACUCUUCGGAGACCUUACACAGGUGCUGCAUGGCCGUCGUCAGCUCGUGUCGUGAGAUGUUUGGUUAAGUCCAGCAACGAGCGCAACCCCUGUGGAUAGUUGCCAGCACGUAAUGGUGGGGACUCUAUCCAGACUGCCCAGGUCAACUGGGAGGAAGGUGGGGAUGACGUCAGGUCAGUAUGGCCCUUACGCCUAGGGCUGCACACGUACUACAAUGCCCAGUACAAUGAGAACCGAGACCGCGAGGUGGAGGA